GAUGAACGCUAGCGGCAGGCUUAAUACAUGCAAGUCGAGGGACAGCACAGGUAGCAAUACUGGGUGGUAACCGGCAAACGGGUGCGGAACACGUACACAACCUUCCUUUAAGUGGGGGAUAGCCCAGAGAAAUUUGGAUUAAUACCCCGUAAUAUAGUUGAAUGGCAUCAUUUGAUUAUUAUAGCUACGGCGCUUAAUGAUGGGUGUGCGGCUGAUUAGAUAGUUGGCGGGGUAACGGCCCACCAAGUCUACGAUCAGUAGCUGAUGUGAGAGCAUGAUCAGGCACACGGGCGCUGAGACACGGGCCCGACUCCUACGGGAGGCAGCAGUAAGGAAGAUUGGUCAAUGGACGCAAGUCUGAACCAGCCAUGCCGCGUGAUGGAUUAAGGUCCUCUGGGUUGUAAACUUCUUUUAUUUGGGACGAAAAAGGGCCUUUCUAGGUCAACUGACGGUACCAGAUGAAUAAGCACCGGCUAACUCCGUGCCAGCCGCCGCCGUAAAAC
rnacentral:rRNA from 1 species